rnacentral:rRNA from 1 species
AGAGCGAACGCUGGCGGCAGGCCUAACACAUGCAAGUCGAGCGCCCGUAGCAAUACGGGAGCGGCAGACGGGAUAGUAACACGUGGGAACGCGCCCUUCGGUUCGGAAUAACUCAGGGAAACUUGAGCUAAUACCGGAUACGCCCUUACGGGGAAAGAUUUAUUGCCGAAGGAACGGCCCGCGUCCGAUUAGCUAGUUGGUGAGGUAAUGGCUCACCAAGGCGACGAUCGGUAGCUGGUCUGAGAGGAUGACCAGCAUCACUGGGACUGAGACACGGCCCAGACUCCUACGGGGGGCAGCAGUGGGGAAUAUUGGACAAUGGGCGCAAGCCUGAUCCAGCCAUGCCGCGUGGAUGAUGAAGGCCUUAGGGUUGUAAAGUCCUUUUAACGGGGAAGAUAAUGACGGUACCGUAGAAUAAGCCCCGGCUAACUUCGUGCCAGCAGCCGC